rnacentral:rRNA from 1 species
GGCGAAGGCAGCCCCCUGGGAUAACACUGACGCUCAUGCACGAAAGCGUGGGGAGCAAACAGGAUUAGAUACCCUGGUAGUCCACGCCCUAAACGAUGUCAACUAGUUGUUGGUAGAGUAAAAUCUAUGAGUAACGUAGCUAACGCGUGAAG